rnacentral:ncRNA from 1 species
UGAUAGCGAUGAAGCGCGAGGUUGCUGCGCAUGACGCAGGUUUUCCGUGGAGCGAAUGUCAAGUCAAAGAUACUGGCGACAA